CGACGUCGGUCCGUCUCCGACCACGACUGGAAAAGGUCGGACCGCCACCGCGCGCACCGAUUCCUUCCCGGAAACCCAUCGCCGCCACCAGCUCCACGCCCCCUAUAUAAAUACCACACGAGCCCCCCAUGGUUUCCCCGCAUCGGAGGAUUUGAUUGACCUCUCCUCUCCUCUCCUCUCUUCCACCUCUCGUCGUCUGGGUAAGUCACAGGUACGGUAUUCGUAAUCAGUUACUUUUCGCUGUUCUUCGUCUGAUUGUAUUCCAGGCGAGCGUUUUGUCUCGGUCGUCGUGGUGCUCCUUCCGUCGAUGUCGAGUUCUUUAGUCCUGGUGGUUUCACCUCGUCUGUUCCGUUGAUAUUGGUACCGUGUUCUGAACCUUUGCUGCUUUGAUUUAGGGUCGCGGCUAAUCUAUUCUGCUUUGACUUCUGAUCUGAUUUAGGGAUCCAUCAUGCUCUGAUUGCGAUGUGAUUUAGGGCCGUGCCUUAUCAUUUACUAUUAUCAUGGUCAUGCUUGCUGAUUUGAUUUAAGGUUGUGAUGGGUAAUGGAGAUUAUAUUUGGCGGGAAUAACGAGUUCCGUUGGUAACUUGGUAUAGAUACGUGGAGCAGUUCGUUUGGUUUCAUUUCUGUUCGUUAUGGCGGGAGAUGUUUGACAUGAUCCGAAUGAGAGAUUGAAGGUUGUGGUUUCAGUUUUGAUUGUUCUGUUCAAUUCACGGUGAUUCAGUAAUGUUCUGCGCACAAAGUGCUUCAUAUUUUUGAGGCGAAAAACAGAGGGUUGGAGACAGUUCAAACAGUCAAAAAUCUGCAGUUCUUUUGCUUUUGAUCCCGUUCCCUCAUACUUAGUCAGACUCAAUAAGAAUUCUGGAUAUAUUUGCUUUCUCCUAGCAGCCUAUACAUGUCAGAUUAUAUAUGAAAAGGAUUGUGCUAUAUUACCAUGUUACGAAGGUAGAGCUGGGAUAUGUCUUUCUUGAACUGUGUGGACAUGCUCAUGGCGGAGGUGAUUCUUCAGUGGCUAUAUUUUGGUGUCAACUUUUGGUUGGUUUCAUUUCAAGAUUGCUAGGAAAAUCGGAGGUGCUUGUUGUGUUUGCAUUCUAGACGUAAUUUUCUUGGGAAGUACCUCAAACCAACAUGGAAGUUUUGCUUUUGAAGUGAUCUGUUUGAAGGUUCUUUCAAGUAGAGUGAAGAAACUCUUGGAUUGUGUCUGCAAAAUUAGUUUACUGCUGCUGUGUUUAUCUCGAGUGGUAUGUCAAGGUCUAUUCAGAUGCUGGUUACUGUGUGGGAUUCUACCAAUCCUUCUGAUCACUAGUUUGUGCGUUUGAUUUCUACAUGGAUAUUCGUUUGGGCUUCAGCCGGUUUCAUGCUCCAUCCGGUGUUGGAUUAGUCUUAGCCUGAUAAUUUAUUGUAAUCUGUAGCCAUGUUUUUAUGAUUAGUAUGUUCUAAUGCAAUUUAUGUUGUACACAAUUGUCAAUUAUGCAUCUGUUCUGUAGUUGCGUACUGUAACCGAUGUAAUUGUUGAAUGAUAUAUGGAUGCCAUAAUUUAGCCCUUCGUCUUUUUUGGUUUGGUGUAUAAAAGCUGUAACCAAAUAGCAACUGAAUUUCAUAGCUUGAUGUUCUUUUUUCCUGCAUAAGUUACAUUUCUAUUCAUUGUUCAUCCAUGCAAAUUCAGCUGAGAUUGUUGUGAACAUCCUGUUUUUGUAAUUCUCAUCAUCUCAAGUUAAUAAUGAUGACUUUUGACCUAACAUUUUGAACUUCGUUCCGUUAUCCUUCGUUAUGUUGUCUGUUCAUCCGUUUGAUCAGUUUAACUGUGAAAUAUGGUGCUUGUUGUGCUGUCCUUACGCACAAGAUUCAUUUUAAUUAUCACAUGGGGUGCUUGUAUUUAAUUUUGAUUUCACAUAUAUAUCAUUCAUGAGUAUCAUAUUAUGUUGCUAUUUUACGUAGUUUGGUAUUAAGCUUCAAGUUAAUCUCAUGUUAGUGUGAGGGUAGUACUGUGAGAUAAGUAUGUUAGUCCAUAUAGAGUUCUAUGUUUGCAUUAUUUGCAGUCUGCUUUUACUCUUGAGUUCCCAACCUAGUUAGUGUCAAUUAAGAUCUUAUUCUGUUCAUGGAACACCUUAUAUGAUCUGUAACAGUUUUUCAUUUUAAAUAGUUUCAGUUUUGAGCAAGUAUUCAAAGGCAAUAUUAUGUGAUAAGUGGCGUUUGGUCUAACCGGAGCUCUAUGCGUAUGUUGUUUACAAUUUAUUUUCACUCUUAUAGUUUCCAUCUUGUCAGCGAAUUAAGAUUCUAGUUCUGUUUUUAGAACUUGAUUAACAUGCAACAAUUUUAGGUUCUGAUUUAACUUCCCCCUUGGUUGAGAUUAUAAGCAUGGCACAUACUGCAACUUUCGAGCUUAGUAGAAGAUUUAUUUGCAUGUGAUUUAGCUUUCCUUCCCUCCUUAUUUUGUCAGAUGAUAAGCAUAAGCAUGACAUGUACGGUAAUUUUAGUGCCUUGUUUUCAAAAUUAGAACAUUUUAUUAUGCUGUGAGAUUAUUUGAAUAACUACUUGUCCCUGAUUCGUUGUGCUGUAUAUCUCUUAGGCCUGAACAGUGCAGUUGUUAUAUGAGUUGUAUAUGACCUAAUGUUCUUUUUGCGUCCUUGGAUGUGGGCUUCUGUUUGUUUACUAGUUCUUAUUACUAAAGCUACUAACUGAGCAUUAUAUCCUCUUGACUAACUAGAGCAGUCUUAACCGAAAAUACUAUUUGUUUGUUGUGCUUAACUACUCUUAAAUUGUCUGCAUGAUCUAGUUUUGACGCUCUUUCCGAAUAAUGUUAAUAAUGUUAUGCCGUUUAACUUGUUUCUUGAGUUCCAAUUCCUACAGUUCUAAUUUUCUUUUGCUUGACAUAGAAUAUGCUAUCUGUUGAAAUUAUUACUUAUCUUGCUAUAUUAUUUGGAACAUACAUCAUAGGGAAAUUAUUUAUCUUGCUAUCCGUUUAACAGCCAAGUAGGUGUUGCUAUGUCUACUGUUUAUUAUUUAGUUAAAUUAAAUAGAAGUCACCUGGAAAAUACAUCAUAGGGAUUUUAAUUUCUCAACCUUGGUGAUCAGCUGUAUAUAAGUUGGUAGCUUUUUAUUUUAGUUCAAAUUCAAAAAAACUUGAUUCUUUCGGAUGGGUUCUUAGUUUCCUUUUAAGCCUGUUCUCCUAUUAGAAAGUUCACGCUAUCCUUAUGCUAUACAUAUUUCUAAAUUGAAUUUUCUGGCCUAUCGGUAUUUAUUGUUUGUACUGCAUUUUCAGUUUUUUGCUAAUAAUAAAUGUUGGGUCAGUCUUGGUAUGCCCCCUAACCCUCUUGUUGCUUUGUUCUAGUCUGAAUUUGAACUCUGUUCCCUAUCCAUGUUGCACCGCUUUAAGAUAUUAGAAUCUUUUGAUGUGAUGUGUGUCUAUAUCCUUAACAAACUCAAAUACAUUUAUUCAUCGCCAGGUAAUACCUUGCAAGUUUCUUUGUUGAGAAUUAGGUGGGCAAGCUAGUUUGUACUGCUGUUUAUUUCAUGUUUGCACAUCUUAUUGACACUGUAUAGUUGACAUAAAGAUUUAUUUUGAGAAAGAGUUUGUUUAGUCUUGAUUGCUACGUAGUUCUGCGCACUUCACUGACCAUCUUGUAUGUUGUUAACUUAUAAUGUUUAAAUAACUUAUGUGUACCCUUAACAAUCUUUUGCUGAUUCUACUUGUGAUCUAAUUAUUAAGUACCCUACUUAUAUGUGAAUGUCAAAUUGAUUAGUACCAGAUUUGUUUUCAGACUGUGUGUUUUUCUUUCCUCAUCCGUUGCACAAUAUAAUACAUCUUGUUUGUUUCAAUCUUUACUGUUGUGUUGUUAAAAAUGUAUGUUUCUCCUAUUUGCAGUCACUAGUAAUACAUGUGGUUUGCGUUAAUUUGACUAAAUUUAAGAGCAGGUUUUGUAAUUAAUACUUAAUAUGUUUUUGACUCUCUUCUUAUACCAUGACGUAAUAUAGUAUAGUUGGAGGCCCCUUAAAAGUUUUUACCUCAAUUGUUUUGUGAAAUUGUAUUGUAUGUAUAUACGGGGUCACUUCAUCUCCUAGAUGUUAUUCUAACUGUGCGUUCUCACUUUGGGUUUUGCUAGUUCUGUUUGUUUUAUCUUUGUGUGACUCCAGGUUUAUAUGGAUAAGAUAUUUCUUAAUGACCUUAUACUCGAAUUGUGUGAAACUCUGGUCUCAACUUUAAUUCAGAAUUUGGUUCGAUAGCUAAUAUUGGAAUAUUUUCUGUCUCCAUUUAUAAUUGUGAAUAUUUCAUACAAAAUAGAUUAAAGAAUAGAUGAAUCAGAAUCAUCUCAUUGCCUUUUCUGCUUUGUACAUUAGGACAUGAUUUUACUAUGUUGCUGGUUGUCAGAUCUUAUGGGUUUCACCUCUAGCCUACCCCAACUUGUUUGGGACUAAAAGGCUUUGUUGUUGUUGUUGCUGGUGUGCAUGUAGAGUCUAGUUAUUUAUUUCCUUUGUUUGUUUUCACUUUUUGGCUAAAGAUUGGUAGCAGAAGGCAUUUUGACUUUUUUUGGCACUGUUUAUGCCAUAGCUUUAGAAUUCCCUGUUCCAUACUUGUUUGUUUAUACAGCAUAAUGUAUCUAGUUACACAUUUGUCAUAGCAGGCGUGUGCAUGUAGUUUAAUUAUUUAUUUUUCCUUUUCGGUUGAAAAACUGGUUGCAGAAGGCAUUUUGACCUUUUGGGGACUGUUAUUUGCUACUCCGCAGCUUUGUUUCAUACUUUUUUCUUUAAACAAUAUUUAUGUAUCUUGUUACACCAUGAAUUGAGAUAACAUCUAAAGGUAAGUUAGGCCAUGAAUUCAAACAACAGUUAAGGUGUGACUGACCUUGAAAGGGGUUUAGGGUUGUAAAACUGUAAGCAUUCCUUAAUUUCUUUCUGUAGUUAAAUUGCCUGGCUGUACUUUGUGUUGCGCAUCAGAAUUAUCCUAUUCAUGAGGUGUAAUUAAGUUAAGAAAUCUUCUAGGCCAUUUCAUGCCUAUAGUUUUGCAAAUAAGUACCUCUCGUAGGUUCAGUAGUACCAUGCUUUACGAAAUGUGAGUUUAUAUAUUUAACUUUCUUCCAGACAUCUUUUCUCGUCGUACAAACUAGGCCAUACAUUUUGACUCAAAAGUUCAUAUCAUACCAUCGUCAAGUUAAUUUGGUACUCCCUCUAUCUCUUUGUAAGUCAAACUUUCACAAUACAAAAAAGUAUAUAGAAAAGAACCAACAUUCACAAUACAGAAACAAUAUCACUAAGAUUCAUCAUAGAAUAUAUUUUCAUAUUGUAUUUGAUACUGUAGAUGUUGAUACUUCUCAAAAAGAAAUGGGACUAUCUUUUUUCAUUGUUAUAGCGUUGUUUUGAAUAUGGCUAUUUUAUCUUUUUUGAGAAAACGCAAAAAGGCUUUUGCGUUUCAUUAAAUUGCAAAGAGAGAGAUAGUUUGUUACAUCCUCCUAGGAGGCACCAUUACAGGCGAGGAACACAAAAUAACUUCAGUGUACAUCCCAG
rnacentral:lncRNA from 1 species